rfam:Leeuwenhoekiella marinoflava DSM 3653 genome assembly, contig: EJ63DRAFT_scaffold00006.6
GGCUCCGUGGCGCAACUGAAUAGCGCAUCAGAUUUCGGCUCUGAGGGUUGGGGGUUUGAAUCCCUCCGGGGUCA